AUCAAUGAACUUGAAUAAGUAUAUACUUUGAAAAUAUAACAUAGUUGUAAAAUCAUCUAUUGAUUU
rnacentral:tRNA from 1 species